CACAUGCAAGUCGAGGGGCAUCAGGAAGAAAGCUUGCUUUCUUUGCUGGCGACCGGCGCACGGGUGAGUAACACGUAUCCAACCUGCCCUUUACUCGGGGAUAGCCUUUCGAAAGAAAGAUUAAUACCCGAUAGCAUAAUGAUUCCGCAUGGUUUCAUUAUUAAAGGAUUCCGGUAAAGGAUGGGGAUGCGUUCCAUUAGGUUGUUGGUGAGGUAACGGCUCACCAAGCCUUCGAUGGAUAGGGGUUCUGAGAGGAAGGUCCCCCACAUUGGAACUGAGACACGGUCCAAACUCCUACGGGAGGCAGCAGUGAGGAAUAUUGGUCAAUGGGCGUUAGCCUGAACCAGCCAAGUAGCGUGAAGGAUGAAGGCUCUAUGGGUCGUAAACUUCUUUUAUGUAAGAAUAAAGUGCAGUAUGUAUACUGUUUUGUAUGUAUUAUAUGAAUAAGGAUCGGCUAACUCCGUGCCAGCAGCCGCGGUAAUACGGAGGAUCCGAGCGUUAUCCGGAUUUAUUGGGUUUAAAGGGAGCGUAGGUGGACUGGUAAGUCAGUUGUGAAAGUUUGCGGCUCAACCGUAAAAUUGCAGUUGAUACUGUCAGUCUUGAGUACAGUAGAGGUGGGCGGAAUUCGUGGUGUAGCGGUGAAAUGCUUAGAUAUCACGAAGAACUCCGAUUGCGAAGGCAGCUCACUGGACUGCAACUGACACUGAUGCUCGA
rnacentral:rRNA from 1 species